UGACCCUUAUUAAGCCGAGGGUCACCUAGCCAACUGACGUUGUUAGUGAACCCUUUAUUGUUCACAAUUGUAUAUAACCAGUCACCCUGUUUUGUGGCUGGUUUUUUUUUG
rnacentral:sRNA from 1 species